GACGAACGCUGGCGGCGUGCUUAACACAUGCAAGUCGAACGGUGAACGAGGGAGCUUGCUCCCUCCGGAUCAGUGGCGAACGGGUGAGUAACACGUGAGCAAUCUGCCCCGAACUCUGGGAUAAGCGCUGGAACCGGCGUCUAAUACCGGAUACGACGCGGGAGGGCAUCCUCUCCGCGUGGAAAGAACUUCGGUUCGGGAUGAGCUCGCGGCCUAUCAGCUUGUUGGUGAGGUAACGGCUCACCAAGGCGACGACGGGUAGCCGGCCUGAGAGGGUGACCGGCCACACUGGGACUGAGACACGGCCCAGACUCCUACGGGAGGCAGCAGUGGGGAAUAUUGCACAAUGGGCGCAAGCCUGAUGCAGCAACGCCGCGUGAGGGACGACGGCCUUCGGGUUGUAAACCUCUUUUAGUAGGGAAGAAGCGAAAGUGACGGUACCUGCAGAAAAAGCACCGGCUAACUACGUGCCAGCAGCCGCAGUAACAC
rnacentral:rRNA from 1 species